AUUGAACGCUGGCGGCAUGCCUUACACAUGCAAGUCGAACGGCAUCGCGGGAAAGCUUGCUUUCCUGGCGGCGAGUGGCGAACGGGUGAGUAACACAUCGGAACGUACCGGCUAGUGGGGGAUAACCCGUCGAAAGACGGGCUAAUACCGCAUACGCUCUUCGGAGGAAAGCAGGGGACCUUUGGGCCUUGCGCUAGUCGAGCGGCCGAUGUCCGAUUAGCUAGUUGGUGGGGUAAAGGCCUACCAAGGCGACGAUCGAUAGCGGGUCUGAGAGGACGAUCCGCCACACUGGGACUGAGACACGGCCCAGACUCCUACGGGAGGCAGCAGUGGGGAAUCUUGGACAAUGGGGGCAACCCUGAUCCAGCAAUGCCGCGUGGGUGAAGAAGGCCUUCGGGUUGUAAAGCCCUUUCGGCAGGGAAGAAAUCGGCGGGGCGAAUAACCCUGCUGGAUGACGGUACCUGCAGAAGAAGCACCGGCUAACUACGUG
rnacentral:rRNA from 1 species